UGAAUACGAAAUGCUACGGCAUUGAAGUGAUCUAUGCCAGGCUUCCAAGAAAAUCUCGUCAUAUCUUAAGCAGUAGAUGCCUGUACCUUAAACCGACACAGGUAGGUAGGUAGAGUAUACCAAGGGGCGCGAGAUAACUCUCUCUAAGGAACUCGGCAAAAUAACCUCGUAACUUCGGAAGAAGAGGUACCCUUGAAAAAGGGUUGCAAUAACCAGACCCUGGCGACUGUUUACCAAAAACAUAGGUCUCCGCUAAUUCGUAAGAUCAAGUAUGGAGGCUGACGCCUGCCCAGUGCCGGAAGGUUAAAGAAGUUGGUCAAUCUUUGGAUGAAGCUGGCGACUGAAGCCCCGGUGAACGGCGGCCGUAACAAUAACGGUCCUAAGGUAGCGAAGUUCCUUGUCGGGUAAGUUCCGACCCGCACGAAAGGCGUAACGAUCAGGGUGCUGUCUCGGAGAGAGACUCGGCGAAAUAGACAUGUCUGUGAAGAUGCGGACUACCUGCACCUGGACAGAAAGACCCUAUGAAGCUUUACUGUAUCUUGGAAUUGGGUUUGGGCCUUGCUUGCGCAGGAUAGGUGGGAGGCUGUGAAGAUAUUCUUGCGGGAAUGUUGGAGCCAACGGUGAGAUACCACUCUAGUAAGGCUAAAAUUCUAACUCUGAACCGUUAUCCGGUCAGAGAACAGUUUCAGGUGGGCAGUUUGACUGGGGCGGUCGCCUCCUAAAAGGUAACGGAGGCGCGCAAAGGUUCCCUCAGGCCGGUUGGACAUCAGUCGUAGAGUGUAAAGGCAUAAGGGAGCUUGACUGCGAGACCCACAAGUCGAGCAGAGACGAAAGUCGGCCUUAGUGAUCCGACGGUUCCACGUGGAAGGGCCGUCGCUCAACGGAUAAAAGUUACUCUAAGGAUAACAGGCUGAUCUCCCCCAAGAGUUCACAUCGACGGGGAGGUUUGGCACCUCGAUGUCGGCUCAUCGCAUCCUGGGGCGGUAGUACGUCCCAAGGGUUGGGCUGUUCGCCCAUGAAAGCGGUACGCGAGCUGGGUUCAGAACGUCGUGAGACUGUUCGGUCCAUAUCCGGUGCAGGCGUUAGAGCAUUGAGAGGAGUCCCCCUUAGUACGAGAGGACCGGGGGGAAUACACCGCUGGUGUACCAGUUAUCGUGCCAACGGUAAACGCUGGGUAGCCAUGUGUAGCGCGGAUAACUGCUGAAAGCAUCUAAGUAGGAAGCCCACCUUAAGAUGAGUGCUCUCACCGCUAUAAGCGGGUAAGGUCACGGUAAGAACAACCGUUAUAUAGGCAUUAAGUAUACGUGCAGUAAUGCAUUUAGCUGAGAUGUACUAACAGACCGAGGGC
rnacentral:rRNA from 1 species